rnacentral:rRNA from 1 species
AUGGACAACUCAGACUUCAGACUACGCCUCGGCAUGGAUAGAUAUCUUCGAUGCAGUCUUCCGUACGGCGGGCUCCCAAGCAAGGACUCCCCGCAGAUGGCCUUCUUCGACGCCGCCACCGAGGGCGACCUUCCCCGCCUCAGGGAGUUGGCGAUCGGCAGGGACGCGGAGGAGAAGGCCUGGCUUGCCGAUGUGUGUAUCCUCGGUGGGGGGCCGUUUCAGAUGGCGGCACGCCUGGGGAAUCUGGAUGUCAUCAGGUGCCUGGUGGAAGAGUUAGGCUUUGACGUCAAUGCUGGUAGCCAAGAUGGCAUGACUGCUUUGGCUAAUGCUGCCAUGGAUGAAAGGAUAGAUGUUAUGGGGUACCUUCUGGACCAUGGGGCUGAUCCAAAUAAGCAAGACAAUUUAGGCUUUGUUCCUCUUCAAUGUGCUGCCAAAAAAGGACGCGAUGAAGCAGCGAAAUUGUUGCUAUCUAGAGGAGCUAGUGUUGAUAUAGCUCCUCAUGAUCUGACACCACUACAUUUCGCUGCUGGCUAUGGGAUGACUGGUGUCAUGAAAGUUCUAUUGGAGCACCAUGCAGAUCCGAACAAGGUCUCAGACGCUGGAAGAACUCCGCUGACUGAAACACUUUAUGCCACUCGUUCAGGACUACCUGAAUCUCUUUCACUGGAGUGUGUGAAGCUGCUUGUGGAGGCAGGCACGGAUGUAAGUUCUGCUAAUACUGAAACACCGUUGGUAAUAGCAACUAGUUAUGGCUUAACUGACUGCGUCAAGUACCUGUUGAAGGCUGGUGCAGACCCUAAUAUCCCACAUAUUAAUUGUGGUGCCAUGCCAAUAGAACUUGCUGCAACCAUUGGAAAACGGCAGCUUGUGGAGUUACUAUUUCCUUUAACUUCUCCUAUUCGAACUGUACCAAACUGGACCGUUGAAGGAAUUAUUGCCCAUGCCAAAAGGCCUUCGAAGUCCACGGUUAAGCAUGAUAAAAAUACAAAAGUUCAGUUGAAAUCAUUUUGUGAGAAAGCUAUUAAGAGAAGGGACUAUCAUGGUGCGUCAUUAUUCUACACUGAGGCAAUUGAGCUAGAUCCUACCGAUGCGACACUGUAUUCAAAUAGGAGCUUGUGUCAUCUGCAGACUGCUGAAGCAGAGAAGGCUCUGCAUGAUGCCAACACUUGCAUCAAACUGCGCCCUGAAUGGAUCAAAGGUUACUACAGGAAAGGAGCCGCUCUCAUGUUGCUCGAGGACUAUAAAGAAGCUUGUGAUGCAUUCAUGGCUGGCCUGCAGCUGGACCCUGGAAAUGCUGAGAUGGAGAAAGCGCUGCGGGAGGCGGUUCAGGAAAUGAAGAAGGAUCACUUGGCUAGGAAGGGCCUCAAGCGAUCCGACUAG